UAAAUGCAUUUUCUGGAAUGAA
rnacentral:miRNA from 1 species